CUCAGGUGAUCUGCCUGCCUUGGCCUCCUAAAGUCCUGGGAUUAUAGGUGUGAGCCACCAUGACUGGCCUCAGUAAUAUUUUGUGCUCUUUAUGGUGGAGCUGUGGUCCCAGCCUAACUUGCAGAACUUCAGCUGUCUCCAGGGCACACUGUCCAUCUGCUUCCUUCAGAAGGAGCAGAGACAGUGCCAUGGAUGUAGUGAUGGGUGACAGGCUGGCUCCCCUUGAGACAUGAGUCUAGAAGAUUAGUGGAAGAAAUCCACUCUGCUUCCUUUGACAUGAGGCUACAAAGAGAACUUGCCUUUAACUCCUUUUCCUUAGAAGCUGAGAAGGUAGUUUGAGGUUGGGACUUGGUCUAGAAGCACAUGGGGAGGUGGUCUAGGCUUGGUCUAGGAGGACACGGGGAGGUGGUCUAGGCUUGGUCUAGGAGCACACGGGGAGGUGGUCUAGGCUUGGUCUAGGAGCACACGGGUAGGUGGUCUAGGAGCACACAGGGAGGUAGUCUAGGCUUGGUCUAGGAGGACACGGGGAGGUGGUCUAGGCUUGGUCUAGGAGCACACGGGGAGGUGGUCUAGGCUUGGUCUAGGAGCACACGGGGAGGUGGUCUAGGCUUCACAUAGCUGGGCCCACACUGAGUGGUGCUGACUCUACCCUGUUCUUUCUCCUUCAAAAAACAGUGGCCAGUGAGCCAGAAACCUGAGAUUGAGUUGUUGAGGAAAAGGCUCACAGCCUUUUUAAUACUUACAAGGUUAUUAUUACAACUAAGUUUUUGUUUACUCUGGUAUUUCUCUCCAGGAAAGAAGCCAUAAGUCUUAUCUGACCAAAGAGAUGAUUUUGAAACACCCAUUUAAUGUCUUAGCGUUUAUUUGUACCAGUUGCACUGAAGUAAAUACCACUAAUUUAUGUAAAUUUAUCUUUCCAUGCUUCUGUUAUCUCUCAGGAAAAAACAUCCUCCCAGGCCAGAUUUAAUGUUGUUACAGCAUUUUUAGGUUUGAAAAUGAAUUAAAUAUAUUUCUAGUAUUUUUAGUUAUUCAUUGCAGAUUAUAGUUGGACUUUUGGCCUUUGUCCGAGGACAAAGCCUGGAGAGAAGAGAUUCAAUGACCCUGAAUAUUAUUGUUUUAUUUUUAGAGCUCUUGAUAUGAAACUAUUGUUUAUCCCUUUGGGUACAUGAAAAAAAAAAAAAAACA